rnacentral:rRNA from 1 species
GAUGAACGCUGGCGGCGUGCCUAAUACAUGCAAGUCGAGCGAACGGACGAGAAGUUUGCUUUUUUGAUGUUAGCGGCGGACGGGUGAGUAACACGUGGAUAACCUACCUCUAAGACUGGGAUAACUUCGGGAAACCGGAGCUAAUACCGGAUAAUAUUUUGAACGGCAUGGUUCAAAAGUGAAAGAUGGUCUUGCUGUGACUUAUAGAUGGAUCCGCGCUGUAUUGGCUAGUUGGUAAGGUAACGGCUUUCCAAGGCAACGAUCCGUAGCCGACCGGGGAGGGUGAUCGGCCACACGGGAGCUGAGACACGGUCCAGACUCCUACGGGAGGCAGCAGUAGGCUAUCUUCCGCAAUGGGCGAAAGCCUGACGGAGCAACGCCGCGUGAGUGAUGAAGGUCUUCGGAUCGGGAAGCUCUGUUAUUAGGGAAGAACAUAUGUGUAAGUAACUGUGCCCAUCUUGGCCGUUCCUUAUCAGAAAGCCACGGCUUACUUCGUGC